rnacentral:rRNA from 1 species
ACGAACGCUGGCGGCGUGCUUAACACAUGCAAGUCGAACGCUGAAGACCUGGCUUUUGUUGGGUUGGAUGAGUGGCGAACGGGUGAGUAACACGUGAGUAACCUGCCCUCUUCUUUGGGAUAACGCCCGGAAACGGGUGCUAAUACUGGAUAUUCACUGAUCUUCGCAUGGGGGUUGGUGGAAAGGUUUGUUCUGGUGGGGGAUGGGCUCGCGGCCUAUCAGCUUGUUGGUGGGGUGAUGGCCUACCAAGGCUUUGACGGGUAGCCGGCCUGAGAGGGUGACCGGUCACAUUGGGACUGAGCUACGGCCCAGACUCCUACGGGAGGCAGCAGUGGGGAAUAUUGCACAAUGGGCGAAAGCCUGAUGCAGCGACGCCGCGUGAGGGAUGGAGGCCUUCGGGUUGUAAACCUCUUUCGCUCAUGGUCAAGCCGCAACUGUGGGUUGUGGUGAGGGUAGUGGGUAAAGAAGCGCCGGCUAACUACGUG